AACAUUAACCCUCCUCCUACUCUCUCUUAUCUAUCUUAAUCUACUUGGUUUCCUCAUACCUUUCUCAGGAUAUUCUCCGGUGGUGAUAUUAUUAGCAUAGAAGAAUCUGUUAAGCUCAGGAGGGAUAGCGCCAUCGAUGAUCUUCAACCUUUGCUUCUCAAUUUCGAUCUUCGGUGACGCUAUCUAUCCUGAGUUUCAUCGGUUCAUCUUGCUCUUGGUUCUCGAGAUGAAGACAUCUCAUCUAGUGGGGCAUUGAAUGAGAGUCGAGGUUUGCCAUGUGCAUCUGCUCUGCACCGCUCCUUUUAUUGGGUUUACCAUGCAACCAGAGAGGAACAGCCAGCUGCAGUACCGCUGCCCCUACUCCAGCAUGUGCCCGUGCCCGUGCCCGUACCCGUACCCGUGCCUGUGUGCCUCGGUUACAAGGGCAGAGGAACAGACUUUUAAACAUCGAUCGACCGCUACAAACAAGUUGAUGAUCAGUUGACAAAUUAAAAGUAGUUUUCACUCCAACUACUGAAUCAUGUGCCAUAACUUCAUAUAGACUUUGUUCAACAUUGGUGUCCAUUAAUGUCUGCAUGUCAUUAUCCUAGGAAAACACAUAGGUAAAAAGACAUAAUGCCAUAAUGUGUCUUGCCGAAUUUAGACAGUAGAGGCUUGUAAUUCACAGUAGAAAUAAAGCAUAGUGGAAAGACAAUAUCAAUGUUUCGAGAAAUUCAGACAUCGCCUCACUCAGAAGGUUGAUCCAUUCCAUCCAAAGUUCGAACC